rnacentral:rRNA from 1 species
GACGAACGCUGGCGGCGUGCCUAACACAUGCAAGUCGAACGGAAAGGCCCUGCUUUUGUGGGGUGCUCGAGUGGCGAACGGGUGAGUAACACGUGAGUAACCUGCCCUCGACUUUGGGAUAACUUCAGGAAACUGGGGCUAAUACCGGAUAGGAGCUCCUGCUGCAUGGUGGGGGUUGGAAAGUUUCGGCGGUUGGGGAUGGACUCGCGGCUUAUCAGCUUGUUGGUGGGGUAGUGGCUUACCAAGGCUUUGACGGGUAGCCGGCCUGAGAGGGUGACCGGCCACAUUGGGACUGAGAUACGGCCCAGACUCCUACGGGAGGCAGCAGUGGGGAAUAUUGCACAAUGGGCGGAAGCCUGAUGCAGCAACGCCGCGUGCGGGAUGACGGCCUUCGGGUUGUAAACCGCUUUCGCCUGUGACGAAGCGUGAGUGACGGUAAUGGGUAAAGAAGCACCGGCUAACUACGUG